rnacentral:rRNA from 1 species
UACGUAGGCAGCAAGCGUUGUUCGGAAUUACUGGGCGUAAAGCGUGUGUAGGCGGUUGGGUAAGUCUGGUGUGAAAUCUCCCGGCUCAACUGGGAGGGUGCGCCGGGAACUGCCUGGCUGGAGUGCGGAAGAGGAGAGUGGAAUUCCCGGUGUAGCGGUGAAAUGCGUAGAUAUCAGGAGGAACACCGGUGGCGAAGGCGGGUCUCUGGGCCGUAACUGACGCUGAGGAGCGAAAGCGUGGGGAGCGAACAGG